GGGUUAUCCAGCUGUGGAAUGAUGACAUCAUUGAUCACCAUGGUUCAUUUGGCCCAUCUGGCUGCCUAGGUGGGUGUCCCCUUCUGUGUAUCACUGCUCCAUUAUGUCACUCUUGACACUGCGCACUUGGUAGGAAGAAUGGCCUUCCCAGAACAGAAAUGGACCAUUUUGUUUUUCAGGUGAAAUCACACAAGUAACGGCAGUCUCAUGCUAGGACCUCUGAACAAGCUCUCAAGAGAACUGGGAAAAUUAGUUCAGAUUCAAACUUCAGAACAUGACCCAAAUAAGGGUCAGGCCAGGCUUCUAAUCUCC
rnacentral:snRNA from 1 species